rnacentral:lncRNA from 1 species
GAAGAAAAGGAGGCCCUGAUAAGCCAACUUUCCAGAGAAAAGAGCAACCUCAUUCUGCAAGUUGAAGAACUGAGGGUGCAGCUGGAGGAGGAGAGCAAGUCUCAGAGUGCCCUGGCCCAUGCUCUGCAGUCAACCAAGCAUGACUAUGACCUUCUACGAGAGCAGUAUGAAGAAGAACAGGAAGUGAAGUCUGAGUUGCACCGGGCUUUAUCUAAAGGCAACAAGGAAACAGUACAAUGGAGAACAAAGUAUGAACACGAUGCUAUGCAAAGAACUGAAGAGUUGAACGAAGCCAAGGAGAGAGCAGAGGCCGCAGAAUCGCAAGUCAAUAAACUCAGAGCUAGAGCGAAGGAGCUUGAGAGAAAGGUUCGAGAAGAAGGAGUUUCUUUUCAUUA